AUGGACAAUCUUGAUUGGUUAGGCCUUCGUGUCUAUUACAAUGGUGAAUUUGAAUAUUCAGAGAAGUGUUGCUCUUACAUUGGUGGUUCUGUUGAGGUCACUUUUAUGCAAAGGGACAAUUUGUCCUUAGCAUCUGUCAGGGAGCAGAUUGCAGACAUAAAGAUGGCAUACCAUGGUGAGUCUUUGAUAGACAAUCAUAGGCUCUACUGGCUGUUUCCUGGAAUGAAUGUUAGAGAUGGGCUGAGAAGGUUAGAGACUGAUGAAAAUGUGUAUUUUAUGGAGAGAUGCAUUACAGAUGCUGGUGUUGUGGACAUAUAUGUGAACUUGGAAACUGAAGGUGGAGAAGAACAAAAUGAAGGAAAUGUAGAAGAGCAACAAGAGAACACUGAAAAUCCUGGAACUGAAAGUCAUGAAGAGCACACUGACAGUGAUUGGCAAGCAGAGCAUGAAGAGGGCCUAGAUGAUUGCUCUGAUGAGGCUGCGGAUGAGCAUGAGCAUGAGGAUGCUGCUGGAACUGCAGCAAAUGUGAAACCUGAAGGUGGAGAAGAGAUCAAUGCAGAAAAUAAAGAAGAGGUUGCUGCUGAUGAAUGUGAAGACCUGGAUUGGUGUCCUAGAGAUGCAGAUAGUUCAGGGGAAGAUGAUGAAGCAGAGGAGCUGAGAAAGCAUGCUAACGAAGUGCUUACAAAGAUAAGGAUGAACUUGCCACUUGAUGAAGAGAAGGAGAUCAAGGAAAAUACAGCACAGUUAAUCCUUGUAGAUGAAAUGGAUGAGGGAAAUGACACUCCUUACAUGGAUUCCAAUGAGGAGUACAGUUAUGAUGGGGAUGAGUUUGGAAAUUUCAUUAGGAGGGAAACAAGAUUUCCAAGAUUUGAUAGCAAGGCUGCAAUUCCUGUCUUUUGCCUUGGCAUGACAUUUAGGGGGAGAAAACAGUUCAAGAAGGCUGUUGUGAAAUAUGGUCUAGCAGUGAAGAGACAAAUUACCAUCAUAAAGGAUGAGGCUAAUAGGAUUAGAGCAAAAUGCUCUUGGCCUGAGUGUCCAUGGUUGAUAUAUGCUGGACAUAGGAGCUCUAAUGACUGGUUUCAAGUGAUCACAUUUGUAGACAACCACAUAUGCCCCCAGAGGAGAGACAACAGAUUGGUUACUGCAGCUAGAAUAGCAGAUAAGUAUGAGAUAAUUAUGAAGGCCAAUCCUGGAUGGAAAAUCAAAUCUAUCAAGGCAACUGUCAGGUUGGAGAUGUUUGUAGAUGUGCAUGUCUCCAAGAUAAAGAAAGCAAAGGCAAUUGUGAGAAGAAGAGUUAGAGAAGCAAUGCAUGAAGAAUAUGUUAGGGUUUUUGAUUAUCAACUAGAAAUAUUGAGGAGCAAUCCAGGUAGCACUGUUGCAGUAGUGCUAAAUCCAAAGGAAAGUGCCCCUGUUUUUCAGAGAUUAUAUGUGUGUUUCCAUGCUUGCAAAAGAGGUUUCAUAGAAGGUUGCAGGAAAGCUGUAGGAUUGGAUGGUUGCUUCUUUAAAGGAGCCCAGAGUGGAGAACUGUUGUCUGCUCUUGGGAGAGAUGCCAAUGGGCAAAUGUAUCCAAUAGCCUGGGCUGCUGUAGAAGUUGAGAACAAAGACUCUUGGUUCUAG
rnacentral:rRNA from 1 species